AUGAGCAAUAAAUAUACAUAUGAUCAAGGUAAACUUACAUACAAACUCACAACAAAUGGAAACUACAAGAGGAAGAGAGAAGAAGAAUCAACAUCUCUCGCGAUGUCAAUCACGAUCCAAGAAUCAUCUACCUCCAAUCGUCGAGUUGCAACCUCCAUUGAUGCUUUUUUAAGCUCUAAAGACCAAAAAAAUGGUGGUUGA